rnacentral:rRNA from 1 species
UAACACAUGCAAGUCGAACGCCCCGCAAGGGGAGUGGCAGACGGGUGAGUAACGCGUGGGAACGUACCUUUCAGUUCGGAAUAACUCAGGGAAACUUGUGCUAAUACCGGAUACGCUCGUAAGAGGAAAGAUUUAUCGCUGAAAGAUCGGCCCGCGUUGGAUUAGCUAGUUGGUGGGGUAAUGGCCUACCAAGCCGACGAUCCAUAGCUGGUUUGAGAGGAUGAUCAGCCACACUGGGACUGAGACACGGCCCAGACUCCUACGGGAGGCAGCAGUGGGGAAUCUUAGACAAUGGGCGCAAGCCUGAUCUAGCCAUGCCGCGUGAGCGAUGAAGGCCUUAGGGUUGUAAAGCUCUUUCGUGGGGGAAGAUAAUGACUGUACCCCAAGAAGAAGCCCCGGCUAACUCCGUGCCAGCAGCCGCGGUAAUACGGAGGGGGCUAGCGUUGUUCGGAAUUACUGGGCGUAAAGCGCACGUAGGCGGACUGGAAAGUCAGAGGUGAAAUCCCAGGGCUCAACCUUGGAACUGCCUUUGAAACUCCCGGUCUUGAGGUCGAGAGAGGUGAGUGGAAUUCCGAGUGUAGAGGUG